GUCAUGUGUUGGGCUGGGUAUUUACUCCCAUCUUUAUUUUACUUUCACUUUCAUGAACUGUGUGGCGCAGGUGAUCGUCUCCUGUGGGAAGCUCCGUGUAAAGGAACAUGGAGGACAGAGAGGAGGGAGUCCCUCCCUCUAAAACCACUCUGUGUGGGGAACAUGAGAGCCAGACCAAAGCUCAGAGAAAAAAGCACAGAAUCAAACGCAAACCUGAAACUGGAUCCAGCUGUGAGUCAGCCAAAAGUGAGAUGUCAACAAAUGACGAUGUUAAAAGACAGUGCACCUCUGAAUCUAAGAUCACUGAGAGACCAGGAUUUCCUGAACCUGAACCCAGCUGUGUGUCCUUGAAGAGCAACCAGUCAAAGGGCAUUGGAGAAACCUUUAAAGCGGAACUUUCUGAGAUAGAGAGGAUCCCUCAGAGGGAUGGACCUGGACCUGAACUCAGCUGCGUGUCCUUAAAGAGCAACCAGUCCAAGGGCAUUGGAGAAACUUUUAAAGCACGGCCUUCUGCUGUAAAGAGUGUGGCCAACUGUGCCUAGACCAGCCAAUAGACACAUGCCAAUCGACUUUGAACUGGCCAAUAGGUGGAGGCUUGACACCUGAAAGAUAAAAAGAACACAAAACCAAAGCCACAUCUCUUGGCACGUAACAUUCUCCUUUUUAAUUUCUCUGAAUCUCUGAUUGUUGAACAUACC
ensembl:lncRNA